CCUACGGGAGGCAGCAGUGGGGAAUAUUGGGCAAUGGGCGCAAGCCUGACCCAGCAACGCCGCGUGAAGGAAGAAGGCUCUCGGGUUGUAAACUUCUUUUGACAGGGAAGAGUAGAAGACGGUACCUGUCGAAUAAGCUACGGCUAACUACGUGCCAGCAGCUGCGGUAAUACGUAGGUGGCAAGCGUUGUCCGGAUUUACUGGGUGUAAAGGGCGUGUAGCCGGGUUGACAAGUCAGAUGUGAAAUCCUGCGGCUUAACCGCAGAACUGCAUUUGAAACUGUUGAUCUUGAGUACUGGAGAGGCAGACGGAAUUCCUGGUGUAGCGGUGAAAUGCGUAGAUAUUAGGAGGAACACCAGUGGCGAAGGCAGUCUGCUAAACAGCAACUGACGGUGAGGCGCGAAAGCGUGGGGAGCAAACAGGAUUAGAUACCCGGGUAGUC
rnacentral:rRNA from 1 species